AAUCAACGCUGGCGGCAUGCCUAACACAUGCAAGUCGAACGCCCCGCAAGGGGAGCGGCAGACGGGUGAGUAACACGUGGGAACGUGCCUUUUGGUUCGGAACAACUGAGGGAAACUUCAGCUAAUACCGGAUAAGCCCUUACGGGGAAAGAUUUAUCGCCAAAAGAUCGGCCCGCGUCUGAUUAGCUAGUUGGUGAGGUAAUGGCUCACCAAGGCUACGAUCAGUAGCUGUUCNGAGAGGAUGAUCA
rnacentral:rRNA from 1 species